rnacentral:lncRNA from 1 species
GAAGAUCAUCAAUUGAAGAUCCUAACCUUCUGCUAAUCCUAGACUCGAGAAAGAGCAGCAAAGUAGGUGCAGGCAAAUUGAAUGGAGAGGUUGAAAGCUAUUUCAGCAGUGUGUGUCCUGAAGUUCUAAAAAAGAAAAAAAAAACUCGAGAAAACAGUGUGCAGAUAUCAAAAGGUGCCAAAAGCAUAAAUUCCUCAAGCACAAGAUUAUGGGUGAGAAGAUAACUCCCUCCAAAUCAGUUUACCAUCUGAGGAAGGCUGGCUCAGUUAUCACCACAACUCCGAAUCACUGAAACCCUAUAUUGUACAACACAAUCCUAGACUCAAGAGAAAGAGCAGCAAAAUAGGUGCAGGUAAAUUGAAUGGUGCCAAAAGCAUAAAUUCCUCAAGCACAAGAUUAUGGGUGAGAAGAUAACUCCCUCCGAAUCAGUUUACCAUCUGAGGAAGGAAGGCUCAGUUAUCACCACAACUCCGAAUCACUGAAACCCUAUAUUGCACAACACAAUCCUAGACUCAAGAGAAGAGCAGCGAAAUAGGUGCAGGCAAAUUGAAUGGAGAGGUUGAAAGCUAUUUCAACACAGCGUGUCCUGUAAGUUCCAAAAAAGAAAAAAAAAACUAGAUAGAACAGCGUGCAGAUAUCAAAAGGUGCCAAAAGCAUAAAUUCCUGAAGCACAAGAUUAUGGGUGAGAAGAUAACUCCCUCCAAAUCAGUUUACCAUCUGAGGAAGGAAGGCUCAGUUAUC